UUAGAGGCAUUAGUUUGAAAUUUCGCCACCUUAGCGGACUACAUUUCCCAUGAAGCACCAAAAUAAAGCUUCUUCCAGGGUUUAUCUCCGCCUUCAACACAAAAGCAUUAGGUAAUGCCGGUGCCAUUGUAGUUAUUGUCAGUUCCUAAGCUGUUCCAAGAGUCCGUCGUUUUUUUGAGGCAACAGCGAUAUAAGACGGUAACUUCCUCCGGAAUGUGUUUUGAACGGCCGUUUCAAUAAUACCCCCGCGUCUUUAAGCUCAAGACUACAUUUCCCAUAGCUCUUGCGCCUAAGCGCCGGCCUUGUCCCGCGGGGCCUCCUGGGUGUCGUAGUUUUUGCUUGCCCUUCGAGCUUAAGGAGUGCGCAUUCGUGGGACUACAUUUCCCACAGGCCUUUGCUUUCUUUCGCCUUCUCUCUCCCCCCUCACCCCAAAGCUGCUUGGCCUCAGUUCCCUCUUUCCAGGGAGAAUGUGGCGGCGGCUUUCGUCAGGCGUGGAAACCGCUGCGGCAUUUGGACUUGGCGAUGGAAACAGAGCUAUGUGUUCUUGUAAUACAAGGAAACUGGCAUAAGAUAACGAAGUUUACUUGAGGGAAUGCAUCAAGGCCCUACCCCAGUGGACUGUGCCCAGACCUGGAGAAAGCAGGACUAUCACUGUAACUUGUCAUCUUAGAA